rnacentral:tRNA from 1 species
GCCUGUGUGGCUCAGUUGAUUGAGUGUCUGACUUUGGAUCAGGUCAUGAUCUCACAGUUCAUGGGUUCAAGCCCCACAUCAGGCU